rnacentral:rRNA from 2 species
GGAGUCCAACGUGUGCGCAAGUCGUUGGGUGAAAAACCCAAUGGCGCAAUUAAGGUGAAGGGAAGUUCUCUUUCCUAGGGAGGAGUGGCGUCUGCCUUCGGGUGGAACCACGCACUCCCGGGGCGUCUCUUGCUCAUUGCGAGCUGAGGUGCACCUAGAGCGUCCACGUUGGGACCCGAAAGAUGGUGAACUAUGCCUGGCCAGGACGAAGCCAGGGGAAACCCUGGUGGAGGUCCGUAGCGGUUCUGACGUGCAAAUCGAUCGUCAGAGCUGGGUAUAGGGGCGAAAGACUAAUCGAACCAUCUAGUAGCUGGUUCCCUCCGAAGUUUCCCUCAGGAUAGCUGGCGCCCAGGUGAGACGAGUCUCAUCUGGUAAAGCGAAUGAUUAGAGGCCUUGGGGUCGAAACGACCUCAACCUAUUCUCAAACUUUAAAUGGAUGAGAACCCCGGCUUGCUUAACUUAGUGAAGCCGGGGCUCGGAUCAGGGUGCCAAGUGGGCCAUUUUUG